rnacentral:sRNA from 1 species
CAGGUGAAUUUAACAGUGAAAGAUAUGGAGGCAAUCCUAGAUACUCUCAUAUUUGAUGGCAAAGCUGAGCUUUCUGCCAGGACUACUGGUACGGCUAGUCAAACAACGGGCGACUCGUCUGUUAAAAUAUACAGAGCAGUGAGACCACUGACAGACACAUCUGGCUUUGUACGGACACCCUGUGGAGUCUGCCCUGUCAUCACCAGAUGUACACUAGAUGGCCUUAUAUCUCCCAAGACAUGUAUUUAUUUAAAAGACUGGUUAGAGUUUUAAUUUGGAGUUGA